rfam:Ovis aries breed Texel chromosome 3, whole genome shotgun sequence.
AGCCCAAUCAGAAUCUUAAUUUAUUUCUUAAGCUUUGCUAUGUAAGGGUCUGUGGUGUUUUUAAAUAACUAUUUCUUCUUCAUGCC